UGCUCAUGUUACAUUCAGUAAGCCAUAAUACCUCCAAGAUUCAGAUAUUGUAAUGAACAGAUUCCAUAAAUAGAGACCUGUUUAUGGAGGUUGGGAACAACACCUUGGAUUGGAGCAUACAGCCACUACCCCAAAAAGGUCCUACUUAGGCAACAACCAGAACCGCCAUUCUUUUGAGAAGCCUGUGAGGAUUUACAACUAAAGCUGGGAAUACUUUUUACAUGUGAUGAAUGAUGAACAGGAUAUGAAGGCAGCCUUGUUCCAAAAGCAGUCUUUUGGUGAUGUACAUGGAGCUUUUGCAUAGAGUAGUUUAUGUGGCAGUUAUCUCAAGAAUUUUCAUCUGGUGGAUGUACAGGGUUCGUAUAGCAACAUUUCCUUGUAGAAAGUUGAAGUUGUAUAUCGAGGGUGGAUUUACCUGU